ACUCCUACGGGAGGCAGCAGUGGGGAAUCUUCCGCAAUGGGCGAAAGCCUGACGGAGCAACGCCGCGUGAGUGAUGAAGGUCUUCGGAUCGUAAAACUCUGUUAUUAGGGAAGAACAAAUGUGUAAGUAACUAUGCACGUCUUGACGGUACCUAAUCAGAAAGCCACGGCUAACUACGUGCCAGCAGCCGCGGUAAUACGUAGGUGGCAAGCGUUAUCCGGAAUUAUUGGGCGUAAAGCGCGCGUAGGCGGUUUUUAAGUCUGAUGUGAAAGCCCACGGCUCAACCGUGGAGGGUCAUUGGAAACUGGAAAACUUGAGUGCAGAAGAGGAAAGUGGAAUUCCAUGUGUAGCGGUGAAAUGCGCAGAGAUAUGGAGGAACACCAGUGGCGAAGGCGACUUUCUGGUCUGUAACUGACGCUGAUGUGCGAAAGCGUGGGGAUCAAACAGGAUUAGAUACCCUGGUAGGAUAGCGU
rnacentral:rRNA from 1 species